rnacentral:rRNA from 1 species
AUUGAACGCUGGCGGCAGGCCUAACACAUGCAAGUCGAGCGGAUGAAGGGAGCUUGCUCCUGGAUUCAGCUGCGGACGGGUGAGUAAUGCCUAGGAAUCUGCCUUGUAGUGGGGGAUAACGUCCGGAAACGGGCGCUAAUACCGCAUACGUCCUGAUGUAGAAAGUGGGGGAUCUUCGGACCUCACGCUAUCAGAUGAGCCUAGGUCGGAUUAGCUAGUUGGUGGGGUAAAGGCCUACCAAGGCGACGAUCCGUAACUGGUCUGAGAGGAUGAUCAGUCACACUGGAACUGAGACACGGUCCAGACUCCUACGGGAGGCAGCAGUGGGGAAUAUUGGACAAUGGGCGAAAGCCUGAUCCAGCCAUGCCGCGUGUGUGAAGAAGGUCUUCGGAUUGUAAAGCACUUUAAGUUGGGAGGAAGGGCAGUAAGUUAAUACCUUGAUGUUUUGACGUUACCAACAGAAUAAGCACCGGCUAACUUCGUG